rnacentral:miRNA from 2 species
AAAAUCAAAUUGGGUUCUUUAUUU